UACAGAGACUGCAAGCGUUAUUCGGAUUCACUGGGCGUAAAGGGUGCGCAGGUGGCCGUGUGUGUCAGAUGUGAGAUCCCGGGGCUUAACUCCGGAACUGCGUCUGAAACUACACGGCUAGAGCAUUGGAGAGGGUAGUGGAAUUCACGGUGUAGCAGUGAAAUGCGUAGAUAUCGUGAGGAACACCAGAGGCGAAGGCGACUACCUGGACAAUAGCUGACACUCAGGCACGAAAGCGUGGGGAGCCAAAGGG
rnacentral:rRNA from 1 species